rnacentral:rRNA from 1 species
CCUACGGGGGGCUGCAGUGGGGAAUAUUGGACAAUGGGGGCAACCCUGAUCCAGCCAUGCCGCGUGUGUGAAGAAGGCCCUCGGGUUGUAAAGCACUUUCAGUGAGGAAGAACGCCUGGUGGUUAAUACCCAUCAGGAAAGACAUCACUCACAGAAGAAGCACCGGCUAACUCCGUGCCAGCGGCCGCGGUAAUACGGAGGGUGCGAGCGUUAAUCGGAAUUACUGGGCGUAAAGCGCGCGUAGGUGGCUUGAUAAGCCGGUUGUGAAAGCCCCGGGCUCAACCUGGGAACGGCAUCCGGAACUGUCAAGCUAGAGUGCAGGAGAGGAAGGUAGAAUUCCCGGUGUAGCGGUGAAAUGCGUAGAGAUCGGGAGGAAUACCAGUGGCGAAGGCGGCCUUCUGGACUGACACUGACACUGAGGUGCGAAAGCGUGGGUAGCAAACAGGAUUAGAUACCCUAGUAGUC